UACGUAGGGUGCAAGCGUUAUCCGGAAUUAUUGGGCGUAAAGAGCUCGUAGGCGGUUUGUCGCGUCUGCUGUGAAAACCGGAGGCUCAACCUCCAGCCUGCAGUGGGUACGGGCAGACUGGAGUGCGGUAGGGGAGAAUGGAAUUCCUGGUGUAGCGGUGGAAUGCGCAGAUAUCAGGAGGAACACCGAUGGCGAAGGCAGUUCUCUGGGCCGUAACUGACGCUGAGGAGCGAAAGCGUGGGGAGCGAACAGG
rnacentral:rRNA from 1 species